rnacentral:rRNA from 1 species
UACGUAGGGGGCAAGCGUUGUCCGGAUUUAUUGGGCGUAAAGCGCUCGCAGGUGGUUCAUAGCGUCGUGCGUGAAAGACCCUGGCUCAACUGGGGGGAGUCGUGCGAAACGGGUGAACUAGAGGGCGGUAGGGGGAUGCGGAAUUCCGGGUGUAGUGGUGGAAUGCGUAGAGAUCCGGAGGAACACCAGCGGCGAAGGCGGCAUCCUGGACUGUGCCUGACACUCAGGAGCGAAAGCGUGGGGAGCGAUCCGG